AUGUAAAACAGUUCAUGCCUAACAUCACCAGAAAGCCUCCACUUGUAGUAUUUGGUUCUCUCGCGUUUCGCGUGGGAACGUUCAGGAAAUACACCGAGGGGUUCUUUCUCUGUAAACCAGCAUGGCUUUAUUAGCGAUGUGUGUUUGUGGUUUGCCCCACGGAGGCGGCCACACGCUGUAUGUGCGCGCCGGGGCAGGACCCGGCGCUUCCCUUCUCCCCGUGCCCGCCACGAUCCGGGGUAAGCAGAGGCGGGAGCGGUGAUGGAGAGAAGGGCUCCGGAGCACCCUCGGGAGCAUCACGUCGGCCGAGAGCCGGGGCGGGCCCACCCGGGGCGCCGGGCACGGCCCGCGGGGUGCGGGACAGCGCGAGCGGGCGGUGCGGGGCGUGCGGGCCCCCCCGGCGCCGCAGCUGCGCCCGUCUGUCAGCGCCGCCCCCCGGGCGGGGCCGCCCCGCGCUGCCCCUUUAAGGCAGCGCAGCCCCGCGCGCAUUCCAGUGGCCGCGUCGCCGUUCCGGGAAGCGGUGGCGUCACCACGCCAUCCCUCCCUCGCUGCCUCUCUCGCUCGGUGCGGCGGGGCGGGCCCGGCAACAAAGGCGCGAUAUAAAUAGAAGGGUCCCGAGCUGGCUCAGGAGGUGGCGGAAUUGGUCUCCAGGUCUGUUCAGAAGUGCACACAGAUGGAGCAGCCGCUGGAUGUCCCUCUUGCUCCGCUUUCCUGCACAAGGAGCGCCUUCCAGAGGGACGAGCCUGCAGCUGGGAGAGACAAACGGGGCAGUGUGGGAGCAGCUGCUCGCUGCUGCCCAGCUGCCUGCGAUGGUGUGACACAACUCCCAGCGCAAGGGAUGGUGAGGUGUCAGCAAGACUGACAGAUGAGAAAUGUGUUUUUCUUCCAUUACAAGAGCACUUUUUCCCCCACCCGUUCUUCUCAGGUUUGCUCUGUGCCACUCUGCUAAACCUGCUGCCAAUAACUGAAGACUAUUUGAAAAAACAAGUUAGAAUUUAUAAUGCCUUUCUCAACAGUUACCAUAUGUGAGCAAGUACUCUGUUAGGCUGGAUGGAAGAAAUUCUCCAGACAGGAUAAGAAUUUGCUAUUCACAGACUUCCUCCUUUGGCUUCUGUGGUGUAAAGCUACCUGUACCUCCUGCUACAUGGAAAAAAUUGCAAAAUAAUGAAAAUUCAAGAAGCCUGGAUUUAUUUGAAGUAACACCAGCAGAGAUCUGGAUGAUUCCAUUAAAAGCACUGCAGUCAUGCUGUUUCUAAAAGGAUAUCUAAAGGUGAGACAUCUGCAGGGCCUAGACAGUAAUCUUUGUCACAUUUUUAAGUGGGGAUCAGAUCCUUGCACAUACUUUCCUUGACUUUCAUGGUUAUUUAAAUUUAUACCAACUUAAUAUGUGGUUCAGUGAUUUCCAUCCUCCAAAAGGAAUGAGCUGAAAUAACAGAGUAGGUUUCCUCAGAUAACUGCAUGUUGGCAUGAUCCAUUUUGUGGUGUUAUUCUGAGUAUAAAAAGAUAAAGUAAAUCUAAACUAUUUUUAGGUGCAAUGAGUCAGUCUAAAUGAGUUGAUGGAGAAAGAUAAAAAUGAAAGGACAGUCCAGUUAGAGGAAGUUAUGGAGAGUAAUGCUUUUAUAUAAACAUUCUACAGAAAUUAUUUGGCUUUCCAAACUCUGUCUAUAAAUCAAGAAGUGCUUUCCAGUAGCUCAUGGAGACCGCUCAGGUCUAGCUGUCUACUUUUAUUUCAAUUUCAUUGAAAACAGAUUUCUUAUAUACAUAUUUAAAGUAGAUUUUUUAAAGUAUUUUUGUAAAUAAUUAAUGCAGGUAUCCCAGUGAUUAUUAUGUGUCUACCAGCAGUGUGCACAAUGAAAAAUACAAGUGGCCAGCAGAUUCCAAGCUGUGAAGAAAACAUAUUCAGUGAGAUGAUUUUUCAGCUAGUACCAGGAAAAACCCUGAUUUAUUUCUGUUGUUCUUAAAUCAAACAGCCUAGUGGAGGGUUUUUUUAAGGGUAACAUAAACCAGAUACAUUUCAAAGACUUAGACUAGCUUGUGUUUCCACAGUACCAUGAGGAAUUUACACACACUGUCUCCAACAGGCCUUGCAACAAAAUGAGCUGCAGUAUUGUAGAAGAAUGGUUUGUAACUAUUUUCCUUUGUAUUAAAGCUUCCCGUAAAUACAUAUUGCUUGGAUCAGCAUGGGAUAAACCUCACUCACUUCAGCUGAAAGAUGAAGCAGCACUAAGUGAUACCUCUUUGGAGUGAGGAAAGUAAAGUUAGAGUUCCAUAAAGAAGCAUUCUUGAUGCUAUAGCCAUCUUGGGGUCCCACCAGCCCAAAUGUCCAGCCAACAUUACCUUCCUCAAGAGGCUGGAAGUCACAGCAGGGAUAAAAGUCACAAGGAAUUCGAGGAAAACACCAGCUUAUUUAACAGCUAGGGAGCCAUUAAGGAUGGCAAAGCUGUGGUGAAGCUGAGAACUGCACCCUCAUUUCUGUGUCCCAGGUCACCUCUUCACUGACUAAAGCCUUCUUUCACUUCCAGCCUUCUUUCUUACACUGCAAUGGGCAUCAUUUAAAGACAAAAUGGGAAAAACUGAUAAGUUAUGGUCUGAACAGCAGCAGUGUGAUUUUCCAUGAAUCCAGGCACCUGCAAGGUAUCAAAACCAAAGGCAUCAUAUUUUUGGAAAAUGAGACUGAGGUUGUCAAGCAAGGAGCCAGCAGUAUGAGCUGUUUAAUUCAGGCUGAUUUCCCCAGAACUGUAUCCAAGAGGAUGUCACACUUUUCUGUUCUCAAGUUCAACCUUAUCUCUGAGAGCAUCAGCAAGUUUCACCUCUUCUGAAAGAGCACUCUCCUGUGAUUUAUUUAUAAUCUCCUGCUGCUUCUUGUAAGUAGAGUUUCACUCCCCUUCCUUUGCUCUGCCUCACAUCAUUAUAUUGCACUGGUAGGCUGCUGCUUCACAUACAAACCUUUCCAGCUGCAAGACAUGCUAACCUCAAAGGAGACUACUCAGAGGAAUGGGAAGGAAUUUAGGGACAAUAAUAAUAUUUAAUGUGUAGAAUCAGAGUCUCAGCACAUACCAAACAUCCCUGCUAAGCUCAUGUUCCUAAAGUCCUUUCAAGUUCACUAAAAUUGAUAGGUUGGUCUUUACACAUUAAUACUGAGAGUUUUUCAGCUUUCCCUACAAGCUCAUUUCUGCCUAUCAUUUUUGUUGUGUCAGGGUGCUAUUUGUGACCUGGUCAGUUUAAGAAAUACAUGGAAUAUAACCUAUUUUAAAAGACUAUAAGAUUGCUGCUGCCUUUGUCUAAAUUGCUGGAUCUGUCUGUUUAUCAGGUGCACGUGUACCUUUGUCCUUGUGUAACAUGAAAAUACUUCAGAAAUGCCUUGAAGGUCCUACUGCCCUGUUCUUAAAAAGUCUUGCAUCUAUCUUAAAGUACAGAGCAUGGUGAAACAAUAAAUAAGGAAAAAUCCUUGAAAUGCCUGAUGCACUUCCAAGACAUGUUGCCUAAGAAUGUGAUCUCAAGUUAAACAUGGAAUCCCUUUGAUUACCACUUUUGCCUUCAGUAUACUUGGGUGUGCUGCACAGUUCAGAAUGAACACUUUGCUUUUUUUGUGUUCAUUUAUUUAUUCUUGUUAGUAAAGUUUUUAGGAGUUUUGCUCAAACUUGAAAAUUAAUAAAGGGAUAAAUGUAAUUAAUAAUUUUGAGUUUACCUGGGCUUUUAUCUGCAGUGUAAAAUAAAGGCUAUGGAGCCACAGCCCCCAACAAGGCAAAUAACCUUGCUAGGAUACUCUUGAUCUGCCAUGGCUAUUUUGAACCAGCUAUCAGUUUAAUCUAUAAAGUUACCCUCCAGACAGUGGCUUGCUUGGUAACUAGUUCUGUGUAUCCAACACAAAUGAUUUUAGAAUCCUGCAAAGCAGCACAGAACAAGGCACGAGGAAGUUUUCAGUCACCAUCUAAUUCUUAGGCCUGGCUUGAUUCAGUUCAUGUGUUUGACACUUUGUAUGCCACUAUCUGAGUUGUUGUAAUCUUUAAAGCCCCAGCAGAAGUGGAUUAAAAUUUUCACAAUGCAAGGGUUUAAAUUCAAAUCUUUUUCAAGGCUUUAUCUGCUGCCUUUGCACAGUAUGGGAAAACUUUCAGCAAAAUCUGGAAGGUAAAAUAUAGACCCUGGGACAUUGAUUUCUUUUCAUUUUUCAGACAGGUUUCUUUAAGUAGAGGGAAAAUUAGGUCAUAUUUUGAUUUCUCUUGGCUGGCUUAUCUCCAAGAUGGCCUGCACCCAAUUUCUUCUAAACUUUUCACUUCUCAGGAGGUAAUAUCUCAUGUCAGAAUGAUAAAGUACUGCAGAACAAGGUAAGCUGAACAUUCAUCAACAGUACAAAAUUUCUGAUGGCAAGAGCUACAAAUAACUUACAGGAAACAUGAAAAUAAAUUGUUUAUUCAAGAGUACUUCCUGUGGCUCUGCAGCUCAUCCAGGUGGACAAGCUCUAUUUUUCACAGAACAUUCAUCUCUGUUUCUCUUAGUUUGGAUUUCUCAUCAACAGAUUACCCAAGCCAAGAUUCAAGUGUAAGUUUUGUAAACAAGUAAAUCAGGACUCACACUUUCUACUGAACAGAAAGAAAAAAGCUAAACCAGUAGGUGUUAUGUAAAGCCCAACAGAUGGAUAAGGGUGCAAGUUUACAUUGUUAUCUUUGGCCAUAUUUGACAGAAGGAAAAAUAGGAAGCACUGCUAUCAGACCUGCUCUGCCACAUCUACCUCGCCAGUAUCAAUUGCCCCAGUGGCACACUAAGAUAAAUUCUCAUUUCCCACCUGUUUUCUUUUCUGGGUUAGGGUUAUUUUGGACAUGCCAAAGUCAAAAUCGUGCCUAUUAGAGUAUUUCUAGCAGUGAUGCCCACCUAUCAUACACCCAGGUCUUUGACACUCUGACUGACUACAGAGGGGAAAAAAUCACCUUUUGAUACAGCACUGACUUUUCUACCAAAGGAGACAGACACACUGUACAUUAUAAUUGUCUGAACUGGCACUCAGAGACAGAGCUCUGAGUGAGGUGCUACAAAUCUAAAAGUUUAGUGUUUUUUGUUUGCUUCAAAGCAUUCACAGACAAGUACUAGCUUGUUUGAAAACUGCCAUUCUGUAUACCAUGUAAAUAGCUUUCAGAUUAUAGAUUCAUGUGCACUUGUAUGAAUAUUACUUAUGGGGCACAGAUUUGUCAUAUAAAUUGCAUGGUUUGUAUUUUUUUCCCAUAUGGAGAGGAAAACAUUGGGCAAAGGAAUAAAUGGAUGAUGGGUAACAGUGUGUGAUUGUCAUCACUUAGAACAGUUCUGGGAUUUCAAGACAUCCAGUGUUCAUCUGAAAAUAUGCAAAUACUAAUCAGAGCUGCUCUGCACUUCUUCCUGAUGUGCAGCUGAAUCCUUCUGAAUGGCAGCUUUUUCACUCACAAAAGUAGGCAGAUGCUUUUUUCGCUUUUUUUCCUUUCAGUUCAACCAGAUUAGCUGAAAAAUUAGCAUUGGGCUUCCUAAGUGGAUGUCUCCACAUCUCAUCCAUUUUCUCUUGAGCAAAUGCAAAUUACAUUGAGCCCAUUUCAGAUAAAUAUAUUCAUCUAUAAGAGACAGAAUACAUAUGUGAAUGUCAUCUAAACCAUUUUGUAUUGUUCUGCAGGUUCUUGGAAGUCUCACAAGGGAAAACUACAGCAAUUUAAUACCUUUUGAAACUAUUAUCAUUAGUUGAAUGUAUUGCCUGAUAGUGGUUUUAAAGCAACAGUGAAAGGAGGUGAUUUACAAACUGUUUUGAGGCUUCCUCCAUUCCAGAGCACAAUCCUUAAACAGAUAAGCAUCCUCUUUUAAUUUUUACUUAAACAUGGAAGUCUGCCAGGUCUGACAAGUGCAGUCUGAACUGUGAUCCCACUGUGGUUCCUACACUGAUGUUGUGAUGAAUUCAGAGUCAGUGGUACCAGCAGACCACAAAGUUAGCAGUCUAUGCUGCAGUUUUCAAAGGAUCACAAGGAUCACAGAGGAUCUUCUGCAUUUUCUGCAGAAGAAAACUAAUACAAAACCUGAUUUAAGACUCAUAUUUUGGCAAAAGGCUACAAAAAAAAAAGUGGUGUCCAUAUACAUAUUAUGGAUAUAAAAGAAAUAACUUUGUCUUAUCCUAAAUUCUUGGAAAAACCUCAGCUGCUCAAUCUUCAGGAUUCAGAGCCCCUGCAUUCCAGCAGGUGGUCUUGGUUAGAUUAGGAUGCAGUAACUAACACGUUCUUAGGAGGAUUUCUCUUCACAGCACUUUCUACAACUGCAAAAAAGUAAAGAGAAUACUUUGAUUUGCAUUUCAUAAACCCUUUACUGAAUUUUUGUUGCUUACACUUGAAGUCCUAAUGCUUCAGUUGUUAAUAAGAGAAGUCCUUAAAGUGGGGAUGAUAGAAUUUGUCCUGUCACAAAUGUGUUAGGGUCAAAGUGAGGGACUAUGGAAAAGAGUGCCAGCUGGGAAACACCAACUCAGAUUAUGCAUCAUCUAGAUAAGUGAACCCAUCUGAUAAUUCUUAACAUUCUGAAGAAUAAACUCUUAUUAAAUACUAAAGGAAGGUAAUUCUCGGUGCAGCAAUUUAUAAAACCUUAGACUUAAGUUAGCAAGAUGGAUGUGGGAAGUACACAGUAAAAAUAAUGACAUUUGCAAUGCUAUCUGGAAGCAGCAAGCAAAUUGAAAAGAAAUUCUAGACUCUCCAAAGGAGGUGUGGAGUAGGAGGGCUACAACAGGGCUUUGCACAGCUUGCUUGUUUUAAGUGCAAUUUAUAGAUCAUGAGGGCACCUGUUUUACUGGAAUAAUACAGAGGUCAGGGAAAUGCAGCUGCCUGAACAAAGCAGCCAUAGCUGACAGUUGGCUUUUAAGCAAAAUCCUUUUCAGGCCAUUGGCAAGUAAAGCAAUCUUAGACAUAAAGUAGUGUUGUUGAAUUAACACUAAAAGAAAUACUGUGCUACUCUGAAUGCAUUUUGAAAAAGCAGCAAUGAAAACGUGUCAAGGAUGUGUCCACUUAAAGCCUUAUUGUUGUAACACUUCUGUUGAGUGGAAACCCCAAGUGAAAUAGCCUAGGAAGUGACUAAAUGUGAAACCUUCAGUUUCCAGAUGGAAAUAAAACCAAAAAGGAAAUGUUUUGCCUUCUAAAGUGCAUUCAGUUGUGAUAACCUUGUCUUUCAUAACAGAAAGGAAGGAUUAAAGCAUCUCCCUCACAGACAAGAGUGGAAGCAGGCUGAAUUUUUGAGGAUCUUGCAAUACAAGAGGGGUUUUUAUAUCAUCAUUUCCUGUUGCAACAGGAGCACUUCCUCGUUGAAAAGAACCUGAAAUUCAGUACAAGCAGAAGCUGAGUUACCUGCUUUGACAUCAGCAAAGGUGAUUUCAUAGGGAGAACAGGAACACUGAGCCACUCAGUGGUGAUGAGCUGCAGUUGAGCUACAAAGGUUUUUUUUUUUUUUAAAAGCAGCUGAUUAUCAUGAUGCCAGAUGAAGCAAGGACUUCUACAGUAAUCACAGCAGCACAACUACUGAAGCUGCCCCAUCAGGAUGCAUGCAAGGAAAGGAGGACAAGGGCAAAAAAAACUAAUAGGUACUGAAAAAUUAUUUGUGAAAUGUUGACAAACAGCCUACAACCAUAACCACCAAACCCAUAUGCACUCCCACAAAGACAACAGGUAUCAUCAAGGAGCAAACUCCCAGCUGCUCUUGGUCUCUAAUCAAAAGAGCAGCAGCAAUACUAAUAAUAAAUAAUAACACAAAAUAAUAAUUACCAGAAGCAAUAGUCAUUUCUUAGAUGCUGAUUUAUUUUUUCUGCUCAGAGCACCAUCCAACAGUGGGAGGGCCCAUGGAGUCCCUCCAGCAAAUGAAGUGGUCUAAUGGUGAGAAACAAAACAAAUCGAGAAUAAAAUGUGUAAGAUUGUGAAAGAAUGGGUAAAUACAUAAAAACAGCUUUUCUAGUUAUUCAACUGACAGGCAGCUGUCCCCUGCAUGCUAGAAGGUGGAGAAUCAUCUAAUAAAGUCUUCCCUUCAUAGAAAGUUACCCAAAUGCUUAAGAAAUAGAACCAUACAGAAUCAUAUUUUUAUUUUAUCUGUAUUAUUAAUACAGAGUCAGGAGCAGCUGCUUAGCUUUUCCCAUAUCAAUCAAAACGGUGACAGUGACAGAGAAAUCCACACAUGGGACAAUUCACAUUCUACUUAAGUUAGUGAAAGUCAGGGGUUGGCAGCACUUUGUACAGCUCAGGCUUUUACAGUCCUCUUGCUGCUGGAAGGCUGCCAGGGAAAUGCCAUCAGGGGGGUUUGCUCUCAUACUGCAGGAUCUGCACUUUUGUAUCAGGUUAAGAGGAAGAGGAACAUGGCACUGCACUCUUCAUUAAAACAGCAGUGGUGAUGCCAGGGUAAGAACAAAGAAAAACUGAGAGACAUAAAAAAUGAGAGCUGAAAACUGUUAAUAUAAAAUGCUCACAAUGUUCACAGGACACUGAGCUGCUAUAAUAAACCUGUGCUGUAAGAGUAUGUGGCAAACAGUGGGCUAUGAUAUCCUCUUUUUGUCAGAGAAAGAUAGAAGGAAAUCAUCAUAAUCUAAUACAGAUGACAUCUUUGAUAAUUAUUUUUAAAAAGUAAAGUGUCAUUUAUCCAAACCCAGCAAAACAGUCUUACUUUAAAUGGCACAGUAGUCCUCAUGGGGGGAAAAAGAUUUAUUUUUCUCAGUUUACAGCUGUAGGAUUUGCAGAAAUACUCCACAGUAACUGCAUUUGAGGAGACCAAGUGGCUUUAUAUCCAGUAUUCUCAAACCCAUCAAAUAUUAAACUCCAUAAUGCUUUUGAAAAUGUAAGCCUGUAUAUAAUGUAUUGCACCUGUCUGCAC